UACGGGGGGAGCAAGCGUUGUUCGGAUUUACUGGGCGUAAAGGGCGCGUAGGCGGCCAGCACAAGUCAGUUGUGAAAUCUCCGAGCUUAACUCGGAAAGGUCAACUGAUACUGUGCGGCUAGAGUGCGGAAGGGGCAACUGGAAUUCCUGGUGUAGCGGUGAAAUGCGUAGAGAUCAGGAGGAACACCCGUGGCGAAGGCGGCGCUCUGGGUCGGCCCUGACGCUGAGGCGCGAAAGCGUGGGGAGCGAACGGG
rnacentral:rRNA from 1 species